rnacentral:rRNA from 1 species
AGAGUUUGAUCAUGGCUCAGAACGUACGCUGGCGGCACGCCUAAUACAUGCAAGUCGAACGAAGUAGCAAUACUUAGUGGCAGACGGGUGAGUAACAUGUGGGUAUCUUCCCUUUGGUGAGGAAUAACACGAGGAAACUUGUGCUAAUACCUCAUAAGUCUUUACGGAGAAAGCUUUAUGCGCCAAUGGAUGAGCCCGCACUUGAUUAGUUUGUUGGUGAGGUAAGGGCUCACCAAGACUUUGAUCAAUAGCUGAUUUGAGAGGAUGAUCAGCCACAUUGGGACUGAGACACGGCCCAAACUCCUACGGGAGGCAGCAGUAGGGAAUCUUGCACAAUGGGGGAAACCCUGAUGCAGCGAUGCCGCGUGAGUGAAGAAGGCCUUUGGGUUGUAAAGCUCUUUCGUCGGGGAAGAAAAUGACUGUACCCGAAUAAGAAGGUCCGGCUAACUUCGUGCCAGCAGCCGCGGU